rnacentral:rRNA from 1 species
UACAGAGGGUGCGAGCGUUAAUCGGAAUUACUGGGCGUAAAGCGCACGUAGUCGGCUUUGCAAGUCGGGUGUGAAAUCCCCGGGCUCAACCUGGGAACUGCAUCCGAGACUGCAUUGCUAGAGUAUGGGAGAGGGAAGCGGAAUUUCUGGUGUAGCAGUGAAAUGCGUAGAUAUCAGAAGGAACAUCAGUGGCGAAGGCGGCUUCCUGGACCAAUACUGACGAUCAGGCGCGACAGCAUGGGGAGCAAACGGG